GGAGGGGUCGCAUAGCGGCCGAGUGCGGAAGUCUUGAAAACUUCUAGGGGUGAAAGCCUCUCGUGGGUUCGAAUCCCACCCCCUCCGCCA
rnacentral:tRNA from 1 species